UAGGAAGGGGGCUAGCGUUGCUCGGAAUCACUGGGCGUAAAGGGUGCGUAGGCGGGUCUUUAAGUCAGGGGUGAAAUCCUGGAGCUCAACUCCAGAACUGCCUUUGAUACUGAAGAUCUUGAGUUCGGGAGAGGUGAGUGGAACUGCGAGUGUAGAGGUGAAAUUCGUAGAUAUUCGCAAGAACACCAGUGGCGAAGGCGGCUCACUGGCCCGAUACUGACGCUGAGGCACGAAAGCGUGGGGAGCAAACAGG
rnacentral:rRNA from 1 species